rnacentral:rRNA from 1 species
AACGAACGCUGGCGGCAUGCCUAACACAUGCAAGUCGAACGAGACCUUCGGGUCUAGUGGCGCACGGGUGCGUAACGCGUGGGAACCUGCCCUUAGGUUCGGAAUAACUCCUCGAAAGGGGUGCUAAUACCGGAUAAUGUCUUCGGACCAAAGAUUUAUCGCCUUUGGAUGGGCCCGCGUUGGAUUAGCUAGUUGGUAGGGUAAAAGCCUACCAAGGCGACGAUCCAUAGCUGGUCUGAGAGGAUGAUCAGCCACACUGGGACUGAGACACGGCCCAGACUCCUACGGGAGGCAGCAGUGGGGAAUAUUGGACAAUGGGCGAAAGCCUGAUCCAGCAAUGCCGCGUGAGUGAUGAAGGCCUUAGGGUUGUAAAGCUCUUUUACCCGGGAUGGUAAUGACAGUACCGGGAGAAUAAGCUCCGGCUAACUCCGUG